rnacentral:rRNA from 1 species
CGGUGAGUAAUAUAUAGCUAAUCUGCCCCUUCGCUGGAGGACAACAGUUAGAAAUGACUGCUAAUACUCCAUACUCCUUUUUACCAUAAGAUAAAUCGGGAAAGAAUUUCGGCAAGGGAUGAGACUAUAUCGUAUCAGCUAGUCGGUGGGGUAACGGCCUACCGAGGCUAUGACGCGUAACUGGUCUGAGAGGAUGAUCAGUCACAUUGGAACUGAGACACGGUCCAA